ACGGGAGGCAGCAGUGGGGAAUAUUGCACAAUGGGCGCAAGCCUGAUGCAGCAACGCCGCGUGAGGGAAGACGGUUUUCGGAUUGUAAACCUCUGUCUUUGGUGACGAAGAAGUGACGGUAGCCAAGGAGGAAGCCACGGCUAACUACGUGCCAGCAGCCGCGGUAAUACGUAGGUGGCAAGCGUUAUCCGGAAUUACUGGGUGUAAAGGGCGCGUAGGCGGGGAAGCAAGUCAGAUGUGAAAUCCAUGGGCUCGACCCAUGAACUGCAUUUGAAACUGUUUCUCUUGAGUGCUGGAGAGGUAGAUGGAAUUCCUAGUGUAGCGGUGAAAUGCGUAGAUAUUAGGAAGAACACCAGUGGCGAAGGCGAUCUACUGGACAGUAACUGACGCUGAGGCGCGAAAGCGUGGGGAGCAAACAGGAUUAGAUACCCUGGUA
rnacentral:rRNA from 1 species